GGAACCUGCGGAGGGAUCAUUA
rnacentral:rRNA from 1 species